rnacentral:lncRNA from 1 species
GCUUUCAAAAAGGGUUAAAAAGAAGCAAAAGGAAAAAGGAUACCAAACAUCAACUUUGGUUGUUUUCUUCAUUCUGGUUCGUCGCAAACAGGAAAAAGGAAGGAGUAGAUUCCUUUUGAAGUUUUGUAAAUAAACUCUUUUGUUUCUUCCAUUACGCGUAAGGUAAGGUUUUGAACUUUAUUUUCUUUAGAUUUAGGUUUCGUUUGAAAUCGUUCAAACGAACAAAUAUGAUUUCGUGGUCAACGAUCAUCUAGCGAGAUCGUUCGUUGAACCAAGGUGUCUUUCUUGGAUGUCACGAUUAUUCAAUUUUAUUUUAGCCUAUUUUGAUUGUAACGAGAUCACUGGUGGAAUCGGUUCAGAACCGAACCUCGUGUACAUGUUUUCCGCUGCGUUCAGUUUGUUUGACAAAUUGAUAAAAAAUAUUUUCUAAAAGUUACACGAAAAAUCCAACAUGUAACACUGUGUGUAUGUGUACUGAUUCUCUUCACUUAAUCAAAGCUUUGAAGUAG